rnacentral:rRNA from 1 species
UACGGGGGGGGCAAGCGUUGUUCGGAAUUACUGGGCGUAAAGGGUUCGUAGGUGGCCAGCUAAGUCAGACGUGAAAUCCCUCGGCUUAACCGGGGAACUGCGUCUGAUACUGGAUGGCUUGAGUUUGGGAGAGGGACGCGGAAUUCCAGGUGUAGCGGUGAAAUGCGUAGAUAUCUGGAGGAACACCGGUGGCGAAGGCGGCGUCCUGGACCAAUACUGACACUGAUGAGCGAAAGCCAGGGGAGCAAACGGG